AAAACAUAAACAAAGUGUAUUGAUACAUCAACUAUAAUUCAAAACAAAUACUACUAAAAAAAAACAUGUAAAAUCUGUAUUGUAACAUACACUAAAGGUGUAUAAAACAAUCUGCUCUUGUAGCUAACCACUAUUAGAAUUAGCCUAAAUAUAAAUAUAAACCUAGUCUAGAAUUAAACUAAAUAUAGAGAGUAUAAUCCCCAAGCAACAUUGGUUUACAAGAAAAUACAUGAUCACAGACUGGAUAUUAGUUGUUCAAUUCUUCUAAGAUCCAUUCAACUUUUUCUCUUUCUCCUGGCUGCUUGUUCUGCUAGGACCUGCAGAAGGAUUAAUGCUUAAUCAAGUCACAAAAUUGUCAUGUUGGCAGAUCUCAUGAUUGUACCUAUGUUUUAAUUUAUUGUUCCUUGUUUAUCAACAUUUAAUUCUUCUACAUGAUGAGUUUUGGCCGUGUGUCAUGAACAUUAAGUGGGGUGUUUUAUAGCAUUGUUAAUUUGUUAUUUUUAAGUUUGGUGAAAUUAGUAUUCCAAUAACUUAAUAAAGAAAUAUUCUAUCCACACUCAGCUUGUUUAUACAUGAACAUUAACUCUUUCUCUUUAUCCUUCAUGAUUUAAUGAGCGAAUAUUACACAAAAAUUCUUGUUGUUUCAUACAAGUGAAUAAUACACAACUUAUUU